ACGGUACAAGAUAAAUGCGAUGCUGUGAAAAUAAAACCAUGGAAGGCUGCAAACACUCAGCCUCAGCGGAGAUGACAACCAUAAAAGUAUCUUCGGUAGAGAGCAAUAUAUGACCCUGGUCACACAGGAUGUGGUGAGAAGACGACUGAACCUCACGUGGUGCGUUUCUGACCUGUCUUCACUGAGACUCAAGCUGUAACUUCUGCUGUGACGCUGCAGUUUUCAAAAGGAACUUUGAAAUUUUUGAAGCCAAGCUGCGAAAUUAUGGCCAAGAUGCUCCUUGACUAAUGGCGAAACACAUGCAAGACAAGUGGAGGAAAGGACAGGGCGGUCAAUCAGAUUUUUCUUUUCCCCACGUGAUGCAAAGGACUGUGUCAUACAUACGAACUGGCUUAAGACACAAGAUGAUGAAAUCUGCUGUGGUCAAACUGCAGAUGGAUUACUGUAAUUUGGCUGCAGACCUGACCUUCCCCCUCCGUGAGAAGGCUGCUGUGAUCGCCAGCAUUGGUUCAGGUUCACCUAGUGAAUAACACGUGUACGACAACUAGUCUGAAUAAAGUUACAGUUCUCUGUCCUAUAUACCUGUUA
rnacentral:lncRNA from 1 species